CCUACGGGUGGCAGCAGUGAGGAAUAUUGGUCAAUGGGCGGAAGCCUGAACCAGCCAAGUAGCGUGCAGGAUGACGGCCCUACGGGUUGUAAACUGCUUUUAUACGGGAAUAACGCGCCUUACGUGUAGGGCUUUGCAUGUACCGUAUGAAUAAGGACCGGCUAAUUCCGUGCCAGCAGCCGCGGUAAUACGGAAGGUCCGGGCGUUAUCCGGAUUUAUUGGGGUUAAAGGGUGCGUAGGCGGCGCUACAGGUCAGCGGUGAAAUACCGGGGCUCAACCCCGGGGCUGCCGUUGAAACCGGAGCGCUAGAAUUCGGAUGCAGUAUGAGGAAUGUGUGGUGUAGCGGUGAAAUGCAUAGAUAUCACACAGAACACCGAUUGCGAAGGCAGCUGAC
rnacentral:rRNA from 1 species